GGGCCUGUAGCUCAAAGGAUUAGAGCACGUGAUUAUGACCUACGGUGUCGGGGUUCGAAUCCCUCCUCGUCCA
rnacentral:tRNA from 1 species